UACGUAGGGUGCGAGUGUUAAUCGGAAUUAUUGGGCGUAAAGGGCGCGUAGGCGGCCUUCUAAGUCGAACGUGAAAUCCCCGGGCUCAACCUGGGAACUGCGUCCGAUACUGGAAGGCUUGAAUCCGGGAGAGGGAUGCGGAAUUCCAGGUGUAGCGGUGAAAUGCGUAGAUAUCUGGAGGAACACCGGUGGCGAAGGCGGCAUCCUGGACCGGUAUUGACGCUGAGGCGCGAAAGCCAGGGGAGCAAACGGG
rnacentral:rRNA from 1 species